rnacentral:rRNA from 1 species
GAAAAGAAACCAACAGGGAUUGCCUCAGUAACGGCGAGUGAAGCGGCAAAAGCUCAAAUUUGAAAUCUGGCCCUUUUAGGGUCCGAGUUGUAAUUUGUAGAGGAUGUUUCGGGCAAGGCCUCGGUUUAAAUUCCUUGGAACAGGAUAUCAGAGAGGGUGAGAGUCCCGUCUUGAACCGUCGGUCGCGUCCAUGUGAAACUCCUUCGACGAGUCGAGUUGUUUGGGAAUGCAGCUCUAAAUGGGAGGUAAAUUUCUUCUAAAGCUAAAUAUUGGCCAGAGACCGAUAGCGCACAAGUAGAGUGAUCGAAAGAUGAAAAGCACUUUGAAAAGAGAGUUAAACAGUAUGUGAAAUUGUUGAAAGGGAAGCGUUUGCAACCAGACUUGUUUUUAACGGUUCCACCACGGUUCUCCGUGGUCUAUUCCGUUAUCGCAGGCCAGCAUCGGUUCGGGUGGUUAGUUAAAGGCUUUGGGAAUGUAUCAACGCUUCGGGGUUGACUUAUAGCCCAUCGUGUAAUGUGACCUACCCGGACCGAGGUACGCGUUCAUUCUCGGAUGCUGGCGUAAUGGUUGUAAACGACCCGUCUUGAAACACGGACCAAGGAGUCUAACAUCUAUGCGAGUGUUCGGGUGUUAAACCCUUACGCGUAAUGAAAGUGAACGGAGGUAGGAACCGCAAGGUGCACUAUCGACCGAUCCUGAUGUCUUCGGAUGGAUUUGAGUAAGAGCAUAGCUGUUGGGACCCGAAAGAUGGUGAACUAUGCCUGAAUAGGGUGAAGCCAGAGGAAACUCUGGUGGAGGCUCGCAGCGGUUCUGACGUGCAAAUCGAUCGUCAAAUUUGGGUAUAGGGGCGAAAGACUAAUCGAAUC